rnacentral:lncRNA from 1 species
UGAUUGUGGCCACUUGAUCUUGAUAAUAAUUAGGGCGUCCUCUGCCCCUGCCUCUGCCGGCAUAUACAACGCUCGUCUCACCUUCUCUUCUUCGCUGAACGUUACCAGCAAACGGUUUCUUGGGAACUGAUGAGUUGGAAGCACUGUUGUCUUGAAUUCGGCCCAUCUUCAACAGACUCUCGAUCCUUUCUCCAGCAAUCACUAUCUCU